rnacentral:lncRNA from 1 species
CACAGGGUUGUUUUAAGCAAAGCCAAACAACCCCUCCAAAAAAAGCAAACGAAAAAUUCCGGGUAAAAUCAACUAUGCGGAGACCACGUUUUCGUUGAAGCUGCCCUAAGACCAAAGAAGCUGAGACCGACCUUGAAGGAUUAACGAUUUCUGUAGCUGAAAUGUUCUAAUUUUACUGACGUUUGGUGGAGACGGUUUUUCGUUUCCUUGCUGUAAAUUCAAAAGCAUGAAAGUGGUUCAGACUCUCCCCUCCUCUCCUAUCUGCUGCAUUGCUGAAGAAUGGAUGGCAGAAGCUCACCCUGACGCCAGCUCUUUGACUUGCUCACACCUGUGUGGAGUGGUCGUCACUGGCCAUAAAUCCCCCUGGCUUCUCAUCCCUAACUAGAUCCAUGAACCACAGUCUGCUCCAAGAGUUCAAAGUCCUUUGUUGUGCCUUUGAAUUAAAAGCUGCACUUAAAUAACUUCACUUACCUGUAAAUCUGUGGAUCUUCGUAAACUGUGGGUGCCACAGUGGCACCAGUUUUCUAGGUGUGUAGCUGACCCUGCUGUGACCCUGGGUCAGUUUUUUUCACCUCCUUGGCCUUUGUUUCCACAGCUGUAAAAAUAGUCAAACUAUUUAUACCAACCUUUACCUUUUUCACAAGAACAGGGCCCUGAGUAGGCUUUCUACAAACAUUUGUGGAAUUUAGUUUUCAGAAAAAGGACUAAACUGGGAAUAUCAAUAAAAUUAUUGGACCACUUCUGAAAGUUCUAUAAAAUGCAAGAGGAGAAGGGAUUAUUGCUUGACACUGGAAAGUAAAGCAGGGAGGGCUAUUUUGUGUGUAUAUAACCAGUAUCAGAGAGAAGAAAGCUUAUUUACAUACCACAGCUAAGUAACAGUUGGUGAAGAAAGCAGAAUAGAAAUGAAAAUCUAUCUCCUGUAAAGGAGUUCCUUACUGAUGCCAACCGUUAACACAUGCCAAUGUCCUCACCAAAAGUUAAAAAAAAUUUAUCUCUACUCUAAGUAAAACAAUUUAUUUUCAUUUUUUUUGUUUUUGUUUUUGUUUUUUUUUGAG